rnacentral:rRNA from 1 species
UACGGAGGAUCCAAGCGUUAUCCGGAUUUAUUGGGUUUAAAGGGUGCGUAGGCGGCUUUUUAAGUCAGGGGUGAAAGACGGUGGCUCAACCAUCGCAGUGCCUUUGAUACUGAGAAGCUUGAUUAAACUUGAGGCAGGCGGAAUGUGACAAGUAGCGGUGAAAUGCAUAGAUAUGUCACAGAACACCGAUUGCGAAGGCAGCUUACUAAGGUUCUUAAUGACGCUGAGGCACGAAAGCGUGGGGAGUCAAACAGG